rnacentral:lncRNA from 1 species
AGUGCUGGGAUUACAGGCGUGAGCCACCAUGUCCAGCCUGCUCACACACUUUGGUAAUGUACAUUUUGGAAGCAGCCCCCAGCAGUGGGACUGAAUUGUCAAAAGAUUUUUGCCAAAUUGCUUAAAGAGUUAGGCGUUUAUGAAUUAAUGAUGAUGAGUUUUGAUUGCAGGCCCUGACCAACCCAAAGAGCAAACAGUUUGAAAAGUCAGCUUGAAAAGUCUGCAGGCUGUUUUUGGCCAGCCUCCUUGAGGUGUUGAAAAUAUCAGACUUCUUUGGCAGAUGGGAGGAGUCUUAUAGGACUCAGGAAUUGUCAUCACUGGUGAAAAGAGAUGCUUCCCCUUCUGCAAUGAAAGACAGAAGUGAAAGCUGAGCUGUGAGACGUGGGCCGUUGUGGAGAUCAACUGAAUCAUGGAUCUCUUUGUAAAUGGCAAAGCAUAAUGGAAAUGUGACAUGGCUUCUCCUGCUUCACCUUCCACCAUGAGUAAAUGCUCCCUAAGGCCUCCCUGGAAGCUGAGCAGAUGUCAGCACCAUGCUUCCUGUAAAGCCUGCAGAACUAAAGCGCCCUGAAGGUAGGGCCAUGUUUGAAUUGCUGUGCAUGGCUGUAUACAUAGCAUCUAGCAGAGGGAUCGACUCAAGAUACACACUCAGCAAUAAAUACCUGCUAAAUGAUGAAUGUAAAAGUUCAGUCCCUCAAGUCAUCCAGAGAACUUUCUCAGAUUACAUUCACCAGACUUCUUCUUUCUAGCACUGUGAGGGAAAAGUUUGAUUUUCAACUGUUAAUGGACUCUAAACCUGAAAAACAAAACAUAUGUUAUAGUGUUGGCUUUGACCAAAGGCCUGCCACCUCUGGCCUCAGAAGUUUUCUUGGUAACUAUAACUAUAAGCUGGAAAUAAAAAGCUGUUCUGUUUAUUUACACAAUUGGCAACGAUUUAUUGGAGGGAGAUAACAUUAAGAACUUCAGGAACACUUCCUUUGAAACUUGGAAAUAGUUAUUCAUUCAAUACUUUUUUAAAUCUCUUUCUCAGAGAGUAUAACUUUUUGUGCCUGGUGUGCCUUCUUCUUUUAAGAAUCUUUUUUGUUUUUGUU